CCUACGGGAGGCUGCAGUGAGGAAUAUUGGUCAAUGGACGAGAGUCUGAACCAGCCAAGUAGCGUGAAGGAUGACUGCCCUAUGGGUUGUAAACUUCUUUUAUAUGGGAAUAAAAUGUUCCACGUGUGGGAUUUUGUAUGUACCAUAUGAAUAAGGAUCGGCUAACUCCGUGCCAGCAGCCGCGGUAAUACGGAGGAUCCGAGCGUUAUCCGGAUUUAUUGGGGUUAAAGGGAGGGUAGGGGGAUUGUUAAGUCAGGGGUCAAACCCCGGGGCUAAACCCCGGCCCGCCGUUGAAACUGGCAGUCUCGAGUUGGAGAGAAGUAUGCGGAAUGCGCGGUGUAGCGGUGAAAUGCAUAGAUAUCGCGCAGAACUCCGAUUGCGAAGGCAGCAUGCCGGCUCCACACUGACGCUGAGGCACGAAAGCGUGGGUAUCGAACAGGAUUAGAUACCCUGGUAGUC
rnacentral:rRNA from 1 species